CGAAAGCCUGACGGAGCAACGCCGCGUGUGGGAAGAAGGCUCUUGGGCUGUCAACCACUUUUCUCAGGGAAGAAGAUCUGACGGUACCUGAGGAAUCAGCCUCGGCUAACUCCGUGCCAGCAGCCGCGGUAAUACGGAGGAGGCAAGCGUUAUCCGGAAUUAUUGGGCGUAAAGCGUCCGCAGGUGGCGAUUCAAGUCUGCUGUCAAAGCACGGGGCUUAACUCCGUUAAGGCAGUGGAAACUGAAUGGCUAGAGUGCCGUAGGGGUAGAGGGAAUUCCCGGUGUAGCGGUGAAAUGCGUAGAGAUCGGGAAGAACAUCGGUGGCGAAAGCGCUCUACUGGGUCGCACCUGACCCUCAGGGACGAAAGCUAAGGGAGCG
rnacentral:rRNA from 1 species